ACAGACUUGGCCUACAUGUAUAUGUAUUUCAUUAUUUUGUUGGGUUUUAAAAAUACUUCAGGGGUCACUUUCAGAUGUAAACUGAGCUUCGCUGAAGCUUUUAUAGUAUACUUUUCUCUAAUGUUUAGGUAAAAAUGGUGACAUUUAAAGGGCAACGAAUCAUUUGGAUUGUUGAGUUCCUCACCAUUCGCUGAGUUUGAAACAUGAGUUUGGGUUACUGCAUGGUUUUGCUUUUGAUGUAGAGCUUAACCUUUCAGGCAGAAAAUGUUAAAAGUAAAUUAUUUCUGUGCAUAUUUUGUCAUAAGUUACUGCAGGGUUCUACAAAGCCUCUUCUCCCUCUACAAAGUCGCAGCAGUAGCAACUAAGAAUCUCUUACUCAAAACGCUGUCUUUGAAGGAGUAAAUAUAAUGGAGCAUCAAUCAAACUACAAUGAAAAGAUAUCAACAAACGGAAGUACAUGAAUGGGACUGAAGAAAUAUGCUCGUCUAAAGCGUGAUCUCAUCUCAAGUGUGCUCGUGUUAAUCGUGCUCGACUUCAUUUUCAAAUAUAUCAAUAUGAUUAGACCUUGAAAUAAACUGGCAUGGUUACGUUCGUUAAAUCUUGACAAGCCUCAGAAGAUACUUUAAAUUUUCACUUCAGUAAUGUUUAAUAUAACAAAAUGUAAGUUGAAACCCUGUUGACCAGAACUUUAUUACUCGACAUGAUUGAAAAAACUUCAAAUGUGCGUGUUUACGUUCUGAAAUCCCGAAGAGGAAUGAAACAAAUUGUAUCUUUACAUGUCCAUCGUCAGAGUUGCAAUUUACCACAAGAAUGGCUUCCCUCAUUGGCUUGGCUGUAUUAAAGCACACUCAAAUUUAAAGUUUGCUGCCCUUUUGAGUUCACCCACCCUUGCUGUGAACAGGUUUUGCAGUUUAUACGCUGCCAAGUGUUUUCACUGUUUAGAAGAUUGGGGCUGUGAGAUCUGUAGCCUUUUCAGCAUCCUAUGUCAAAGGCAAUGCUGGAGGUAUUCAAGUAAAAAGACAAGGCUUUAUAUCGCAGUGGCUGGGACUCCAUUCUUGCUACUUGAUUUCAUUCUGCUGACGAAUGCUUACUCUUUGUAAUGGUUUUAGUUAUAAGCCAACUAUCAGUAUAGCAGUUUGGUUAUUAACAAGCUUGAGUGUGUAGUUCUACCCUAGGAAUAGGGUUUUUCAUUCUAAAAGCGGUUUUUGGGGUAGGCAUGUUUAAUAGCAAUGGGCACAGUGCAUGCCUUGAGAAACCCCUUGCAAGCUGUAUUGUUAACAUAAUUCAUUGGAAGAAAGUACUUAGUAUAAUCUUCUCUGGCCAGACGAAGCUCGAUGCUUUGUUCCCUUUGUAUUGUAUGUCUGAGUCAUGACUGGGCAUUUUCAUUGUACAGGAGAGUGCAGUGUAGCUAAUUGUUUCUAAUGCAACCACAGGGCAAGUUACAUGUACAUUGCUCUAUGUCCAUUAGCACACUUUACAAUCACAUGAAACCAGAAGUCUGUAGCAAAGUCUUCUGAUCAAGUGAACGUGGAAUUAAACCGUCCAAAAGGGGGACAUAAGUUGGCUUGACGAAAGUCCGAAGCCUAAGUUACCAAGGCAGAAAUCCCAAGCGAAAUGACCUCAGAGUCGCCCUGCACUGAAGGAACUGUAUCCUGAAGUCAUGGAGGGCAUGCUCCUUCAUCAAGUGCAAGGGGUCCAAGGCUUAUAGAAGAUGGGAGGAAGACACUGGCACUUGUGGUACUACUUUGAAGCAAGUGAAGCAACACCUGCUUUAUACCAUCCCAAAACUGCAAAACGAAAGGCCAAAUAUAGAUAUGAGGAUGAUAGCCCGCUUGAUACAGCUUCCAAACAAGGCAUUUAAAGCAUCCACAGCAGAGCGUAAAAUUAUGGUUGGACAUUUGACAUUUUCUGAGCACUUACUGUGUUUGUUCGAACAAAAUCAAAGAUUAUCGGGCAAAUUGUCCAACUAACAUAUCAAUAACAGCUCUUAAAAUAUCAAGAAAAUUUGAGGUAUUUUGGCGUCCGAUUUAUUAUUAGUUUGUGUUUGAAUUACAUUAAUUAUGCCCAAGGCAUUCAUCAGGGCUGAUCACUUAUCACCGCCCCAUGUCACCCAGCGCCACACGUGUAUGAACACACGUGUGUACACUUUACUUGCACAGACAUGAAAUCGCCCCAUAAUUCUUUGUGCAUCGUAAAAGGUAGUUCAUGCUGUUAACCAAUGUUCAAUUUUCUGUAGUAACCCAUGCAUAACACAUAACCUGGGUACCAGGCAAUAUGGACUAGUUGUGGUUGGCUGCGUUCGCGCGGUUCCUCCAGUUCAACCCAAUUGUGGUGCGUGCAUUAUAUUCUUAUAUGUGCGAUAGGGGUAUACCUUCGUUGACUUGCGGGUCUUACUCCUGCCAAACACGAAUAGCUCAUUCGAACGCAGCCCUUAGUCAUGGCUUAAACGUGCUCAGAGUCAGACUGUUUCUUGGUCCCCAUUGUCUGAACAAAAAUAAGAAUGGGGUUAGGAACCCCAACUGUACCUUUUUUUAAUAUGGCAUAUCAAAAGCUGGUAAAGGCAGAACAAAAUUGAUUGUGUUAUGACAUUUUUUGGUCUAAUUUCACGCUCUGCACAGAAUACCAAGGCUUGAUCGACGCCCGAGUUCCAGCUAAAGAAAAUUCAGUUUGUAAGUCCAAUGACAACAGCCAUUUCUACGCAGCCAGGGUUUGCUAUGUACUGGAACUUGCAUCUAAGUUCAUCUCCUGUUCCAUCAUCUACUAUGUGGACAAUAAGAACAAAAUCAAGGUUGGGGAAGGUACUCUUGAUCGUUGCAUCAAGGUGACAAAGCUGUUUCCAAACAGCGAUGCGCCCAACUACAGCAACCAUGCUUUCCCUACCCCUGAAUACCUCCUUGUCCCAUUGAGAUAUCUCAGGAUGAAGCCAUCCACUUAGAAAGAUCACCUUAGAAGAGACUGGUUUGUACUUCCAAAAAAUGACCAGGCGACUGUCUUUCUUCGAAGUCCUCAUUCACCGUGCACGAUUGCGAUGCACAUCAACGACAUCUUGGGGGAACUCAACUUGGCUGCUGAUGUAUCAACUGGUAGAUCGUUGAUGGUGAUGAUCACUGAUGGUGGGGCUGACUUCAAUGUAAAUCACACCGUCAAUGAAGUCUACUGUGUCCGCCUUUUCCGAAAUACUGAACUUCAUGCUUUGGUGGUGACAUCGUAUUGCCCCAGACAUUCAGUACUCAAUCCAGUCGAACGAGUCUGGGUACCAUGCACCAAAGCGUUAAUAUCCAUCAGUCUGCCUGCAUGUGUAUAUGGGGAGACCAUUCCCCCGUGCCCAAAGGCAUCUCUCAAAAGAUGAAAAGGAAGAAAGGGGACAUCGUGUGUUCAACUGCGCCAUGGGGCUCAUCAAGGACAUGUACUGGGCAGGGCUUACUUUUGCCGGAAAAACAAUCAGAACAUUCGUGCGUGACAGUGGGUCUGCAAAGCAACCAUACAACCAUGAUGACUACCUCAAGACUCAUAAGGCUGUAUCGGAGUCUGCCAAGAAGUUGUUGGAAGAUGCCAGAAGCCACGAGGACUAUUUAUUCACGAUGAAGCAUAUCGAGAGAAGAAUAGUGAUAUGCAUUUAUACAAAGUGCAGCGAUGCUGCAUACAUUCACUGCGUAGCCCGCCCUCCCCACAAAGCGUCUCAAGAAAUGCUUGAAUGUGUUCGUAGGUUCCCCUCCCCCAAACCAUCCAUGGACAACCCAGGACAUUUCAUGACUUUCAUGAGGCCCUCAACUCCAGCCAUGUACCAGUAUGUGACCACCUUCCCAUAUUCCAACAAAAGGGACUAGGCAGGUGCCCAGAAUCUAACUGCAACUAUGUUUUUACAAGCAAGAAAGAUAUCGGGGACCACAGAGCAAAGGUUCAUGGCAGGUAUUCUGCAUAGAACUACAUGUCAACAAUAUCUGUUGUGGUCCCACAUUGUAUUUUAGGUGAAUUUUGCAAUGGGAAUAUUUUGAAACAAGGGAAUAUUUCUACAUUAUUGGGGUUUGUGAAGGUACUUGUAUACUGUACAUGGAUGCGCAUCAUUCACCACCUACUGGGUCUUAACAAGAUUAUUUCUUUCUGUAUCCCCAAGUAGCUAUGUGAAAAACAUGUAUCGUAGUUUGAACAUCCAAGUGUAUUAAAAACCUUCAACGUGUACACUCGUAUGUCAUGCCCCUCCAGCUCCCUAUUUGUAUUGUUUCAUCUUUUAAAGAUUAUUAGCUGUUAUGAUUAUAAUACCGUAACUCACUUUUCGGUAUAUUCUGUUUUGUACUCCCAAGAUAGGCAUAGUCCUUGAAGACGAUGGUCGAAGCACAAGUGCAUAUUAAAGUUAUUCUUAAUUCUCUGCCAGAAACAUGGGUUGACAUUUUUUCGAUUAGUCCAGUAUCUGUACCCACAUGUACAUUCGCUACGAGUAGCCUAUACAGGGCUUAAAAUGCCUGUGCAUUUAUUUUCAAAAGUAUUUUCUCCAGAUUUUUGUAAACAUGAAAACGAAGGACUGAUUCAAACAAUAAGGUUUAGUUUCUAUUGUUUUGAGCAUAAGACCUAAGGCAAUAAAAUAAAGUUGGUCUAAUAGUUAAGAAAUGUAUUCAAACAUACAAGGCCAUGUUUGGAGUUUUCCUUUCAAUGUUUUCAUCAAUGUUUUUCAACCAUCUUAUCAACUGAUUUUCUUGUUCGGUUCAUCUGCUUAAAAACUUUACCUGCUUGAUGUAAUAAUUGAGAUUUGAUACCGUUCGCAAUCAAACAAGAAUACAUGUAUACAUCUACUAUGAAACUACCAGUAUUGAACAGGAAUGAAUUUUUCCAGAGACAAAUGCCUGGAAAAAAGCAAGCAUGAGUCCAAGUCUUUUUGGGGAUUUUGACUUCUGCAUGUGCAUGUACAAGUAGGCCAGCAAAAGGGCAAGGCAAGCCGAGCACGUUUUAUAAGUUGGUGCUUGGAUUUUUACGAUAAAGUUAAGAGGAGGCUGAGAAAUUUUUGUUAUAGUCUAAAAUUGGUCUUCAAGUGGGAGAGGAGAGGCCUUUUUUUUCAAAAAAAGGAGAAAAGACAUCCCUUACCAUCACUGCUAGCUGCUGAGGACCAAAGAAAGCAAACACAAUUGAAAUGGGGGACUUCAUAGUCUCUAAAAGAAAAACUAAAGAAGAAAUUCACAUUGUAUAUCGGUAAACUGUUGGUCACCGAAUACAAGACCUCUCAAAAUGGAAAAAAAAUUGUUUUCAAUUUCUGACCCUAGAAGGUCAGCAGAUCUGAGCACUACCUUAAAAAAACUCUUGCCUAAUGCAGGCUGGAGUUUUUCUACUUUGCGUUUCAUUGAAGCUUUCUCAAACAUUUCGUCUACUACAAAACUUUUUUUUUUUUAAGGCAAGAGCUCUUCAUGUCUCUCCCAUAAAACUCUUCAACUGUGCAUCAUUUUGCUGAAACUUUUUACCAUUAAAUAAACCUGCAAAAAAAAGGAAGAGUCAAAAACGUUUGACAGAUUAACAGUGUUCUGUAUCAACAAGGAAUCAAACCGUGAGUGCCAAUAUGUACGUUUAGCUGAUACUUCUUGUUGCAUAGAGUCGAUGGGAAUUGUUCCAGCAUGUCAUACACCGUGACCAAGCUAUUAUGUUGAUGCAUACCAGACACAUGUGAAGCACUGGGCCUGUUCUGCACACGAAAGAAUGGUAGGAUUAAAGAACAAUAGCUGGGGCAUUUCAUCCCAUUCUCAAGCGUGGGAAUGCGAAGAAUGUUUUGGUCUUGUCCCUAACUAAGUUCCUGUUAGGGGCACACACUAAGGCCACAAGGGAGAAGAGGUUCCUGUACAAGUUUGUCAUAAUGACGUCAUUAGCUUGCAAAUCUCAUGACAUUAAAGGGGCACUCUUUAAAGCACUAUAUCUAGUGAAGUACAUGUCCGAUUGGGUUGAAGUGUUGCAGAUAGCAAGAAAGGGAAGGGUUCACGAUGGAAAUUGAUUUCAUCCGAUAGUGGUAUCAUUAUAUGACAAAUCAUGUGACAUAUAUCGCGAUGACAUGGAUUUUUAAAGUUUCCACUGACUGCUUUUCAUUUUUGGCCAUUAUGACAAUUUUAUUUAAAUGAUUUGUAAAAACCAAAGUCAUUCUUUUGUCAAGGUUUCUUCCUUCUCCCCAUUGAUCUUCUCCCAAUUCAUCAUUCAUCAUCAGUGCAUGGCCUGUAAGAACAAUGUAAGAAUCCUGACAUUUUGGACAAUGAAUGCAGAUAUUUAGUCUUUUCUUGACGGGCAUUUUCUGACUGUAACUGUUGGGAUCGAUAUUUGAGCAAUUUUUAAUGAAUUAAAGGUCUUUCCAUCAUAACUUCUGGUCUGAUGACAUCAUUAGCCCAAAGUUUUGCACAAACAUUGCAGGCAUAAAGGUCAUUGUAUGGACCAAAUUUUCAAGCAAUUCUGGCAAACUUUGCCACAGACAUCUUGUAACAAUGUUGAGAUUUUGUGAACAGCUGGGAUACAGGAUGCACCUUUAAGUUUCCAGAAAAGUGUAGUGGUAAAUGAGUCAAACACCAGAUGUUCAUCAAGGCCAGUUGACCCAUUGAUAAAACUUGGCUAUUUACUUGGAAUGUGGGGGCUGAGGCCAGUGGGUCCAUAACUUGCCCUUUUUUCAUAGAAUAAUAUUUCUUUGAAAUGAAGGGGUAGAACUUUGAGUCUGAUGAGACCAGUUUCGAUGCUUUAAACCUGUGAAGUGUUUUCGUGUUGAGAAAAUACUUGUUUUGUGAAUUAUUUUGCUGUGGUGAAAAACUAGUUGGCAAGCAUUAGGAUUUUCCUCGCAAGCUCCCUGUUUGACUGUUAGAAGCUUUGCAUGAGGCAAAGUUUUGAAAAUCAAAGAAACACGUAUUCUUUACCAACUUCUGUUUGUCAACAAACACUUCCUCCGAGUCUGAAUUGUCCGUGCACUUGGGCCAGGACGGUUGCUUAAAGUUUGGUUACUGCGACCCAUAAUUCAGCGCUACUUAAAACAUCUCAUGACAAGUUAAGAAGUCGAGAUUGUUACACAUCUAUUCAAGAUACAUUUUAAACUUUUUUCAUUCACUCACCAAAGGACCCUCAAACUUGAAUAACAUCAGCAGUAUAUGUUUUAAGGAAUACUAUUGUGUCGGAGACUAACACAGGUGAAAGUAAGUUUGUGUCUAUUACCAACUUUAAAUAAUAAAGUAUUUCCAGUUUGGACCAGUUUCGACUGGAAGGAAAAAGGUCAGGUAAUUUUAUGUAUACGAGAAGAAAUGAAGACCGAAGUUUACUUUAUCUAUUGGUGCAAAAAGCCAGCUGCUUGAAGUCACGGUUGAUUUUAUGUCGAUUUUUGAAGACUGAACAUGAAUAAAAUUCAAGCUCUUGUAAUUUGACAUCUAGAGACGUCAUCAUGAAGUCUUUGUUCUAGUACAAUCUCAGUAUCUGAGCUUUUGCUUUGUGUAACUUUGAUGAAGGAACAAUAUUGCCAAGUGACCUGAAAAUCUUUGGCAAUAUGUGUUGAAGAAUGAAUAUUCAAAAUUAUAUUGAUGACAUCAUCAUGAUGUCAUGCUUUGAUGCACAUCUUUGAAUGAUGAUUCAAGUAUCUGCCAGGUUGGAAGGAAAUUGGAAUUGUUUUAAAACCAAAAUGUCUCAUGUUAUGUCUAUGGGCAAAGAGUGGAAAAAGAAAA